rnacentral:rRNA from 1 species
GCGCAGCAGGCGAGAAACCUCCGCAAUGCGGGAAACCGUGACGGGGUCACCCCGAGUGCCACCCGAUGAGGGUGGCUUUUCCCCGGUCUAAAAAGCCGGGGGCAAUAAGCGGGGGGCAAGUCUGGUGUCAGCCGCCGCGGUAAUACCAGCCCCGCGAGUGGUCGGGACGUUUAUUGGGCCUAAAGCGUCCGUAGCCGGCUCGGUAAGUCCCUCCUUAAAUCCACGGGCUCAACCCGUGGGCUGGGAGGGAUACUGCCGGGCUAGGGGGCGGGAGAGGCCGAGGGUACUCCCGGGGGUAGGGGCGAAAUCCGUUAAUCCCGGGAGGACCACCAGUGGCGAAGGCGCUCGGCUGGAACGCGCCCGACGGUGAGGGACGAAAGCUGGGGGAGCAAAGGGGAUUAGAUACCCCUGUAGU